rnacentral:rRNA from 1 species
AAUCUUGCGCAAUGGGCGAAAGCCUGACGCAGCAACGCCGCGUGAGGGAUGAAGGCCUUCGGGUUGUAAACCUCUUUCAAGCAGGGACGAUAGUGACGGUACCUGCAGAAGAAGCUCCGGCCAACUACGUGCCAGCAGCCGCGGUGAUACGUAGGGAGCGAGCGUUGUCCGGAUUUAUUGGGCGUAAAGAGCUCGUAGGCGGCUCGGUAAGUCAGAUGUGAAAUCCCUAGGCUCAACCUAGGGUCGCCAUCUGAUACUGCUGUGGCUAGAGCCCGGUAGGGGUCCAUGGAAUUCCUGGUGUAGCGGUGAAAUGCGCAGAUAUCAGGAGGAACACCGGUGGCGAAGGCGGUGGACUGGGCCGGUUGCUGACGCUGAGGAGCGAAAGCGUGGGGAGCGA